AGCCAUGCAGUGAGCACAUAGCGAACUAUUCUUUCACCUUUUACUAAAGAAUACCGUGUGCGCAUUGCAAUUAGUGGCAUACGUCAAUUUUUGGAGGAAUUCUCUUCUUUAGAGUACC
rnacentral:snRNA from 2 species